rnacentral:rRNA from 1 species
CGAACGCUGGCGGCGUGCCUAAUACAUGCAAGUUGAGCGCUGAAGGUUGGUACUUGUACCAACUGGAUGAGCAGCGAACGGGUGAGUAACGCGUGGGGAAUCUGCCUUUGAGCGGGGGACAACAUUUGGAAACGAAUGCUAAUACCGCAUAAAAACUUUAAACACAAGUUUUAAGUUUGAAAGAUGCAAUUGCAUCACUCAAAGAUGAUCCCGCGUUGUAUUAGCUAGUUGGUGAGGUAAAGGCUCACCAAGGCGAUGAUACAUAGCCGACCUGAGAGGGUGAUCGGCCACAGUGGGACUGAGACACGGCCCAAACUCCUACGGGAGGCAGCAGUAGGGAAUCUUCGGCAAUGGACGAAAGUCUGACCGAGCAACGCCGCGUGAGUGAAGAAGGUUUUCGGAUCGUAAAACUCUGUUGGUAGAGAAGAACGUUGGUGAGAGUGGAAAGCUCAUCAUGUGACGGUAACUACCCAGAAAGGGACGGCUAACUACGUG